rnacentral:lncRNA from 1 species
GGCACUGGCAGAGACUCUCAGGAGACGCUGGUGGGAUUGUAAGCUGGUACAACCACUUUGGCAGUCAGUUUGGCAGUUCCUCAGAAAAUUGGACAUAGUACUACCAGAGGACUCUGCCAUACCAGUCCUAGACAUAUACCCAGAAGAUGCGCCAACAUGUAAUAAGGACACAUGCUCCACAGUGUACACAGCAGCCUUAUUUAUAAUAGUCAGAAGCUAAAGAACCCAGAUGUCCCUCAACAGAGUAAUGGAUACAGAAAAUGUUUUACAUUUACACAAUGGAAUACUACUCAGCUAUUAAAAACUAUGAAUUAAUGAAAUUCUUAGGCAAAUGAAUGGAACUAGAAUAAACAUCCUGAGUUAAGUAACCCAACCACAAAAGAACACACAUGGUAUACACUCACUGAUAAAUGGAUAUUAGCCCAGAAGCUCGGAAUACCCAAGAUAAAAUUCACAGACCAAAUGAAGCUCAAGAAGAAGGAAGACCAAAGUGUGGAUACUUCAGUCCUUCUUAGGAGGAGGGACAAAGUACCCAUGGGAGGAGAUACAGAGACAAAGUGUGUGGAGCAGAGACUGAAGGAAAGACCAUCCAGAGAUUGCCCCAACUGGGAAUCCAUCCCAUAUAGAUGUCACCAAACCCAGACACUACUGUGGAAUGCCAACAAGUGCUUGCUGACAGGAGCCUGAUAUAGCUGACAGGAAGAUUUUUUAAGAUUUGUCUUCAAAUUGCGGAAGGUCACUGACUCUUGUCAGUACUUAAAGGUACUUAAAUGCCAGUUGGCGAAACUGAGUGCCAGAAACAGGAUACAAUUUUCUCAAGGUACCAAGUCUAUUUCAACAGCAUACUGGCCAGACAAGAUUUCUUUUCUUUUUCUUUUUUCAUGUUUCAAAUGCUUUUUGUUUUUAAUUAUUGGCUUUCUGCAGGGUCUGGGUUGGUGUUCUGUUCAUCUUUCCCAAGUUUGUUCAAAAACGCUAUUCUUGGUCUUGAUCCAUUUAUGAUAUCUGAUGAAACUCCAGGUGGAAAUGAAAAAGUGUGGGAAAUACUGGCCUGUGUGUUGUUCUGCAGAGCCCCUUGAAGUUAGUCACUGGAGGUAUUAAAGUCAGGGACUCUCUUGGCUGGAUUUUAGGUCAUGCUUUCUGUUUGGUGCUCUUUCCCCUGUUUAAAGACAGGAAUUACAGGCGGUCCUCCAUUCUUCUCAAGACUUAAGGAUGAAAGUCCCACACUUUGCUGCAUUUGAAACUUUUUGUUUUUUGUUUGUUUGUUUGUUUGUUUGUUUUGUUGUUUUUUUUUUUUCGAGACAGGGUUUCUCUGUAUAGCCCUGGCUGUCCUGGAACUCACUUUGUAGACCAGCCUGGCCUCGAACUCAGAAAUCUGCCUGCCUCUGCCUCCUGAGUGCUGGGAUUAAAGGCGUGUGUCACCACGCCCGACUCAUUGGAAACUUCUUUAGGAACUGAAGAUUGGUCUUUGCAUCUUUACUGAUGUUAUGUGCAGGAAUUGGUUAGGCUUAUUCCUACACUCAGUUAACAGAAUUCAGAAAGCAUGUGCAUUGUAAGUGAAGUAGCCAAGGGCACAGGAACUGUUUGAACCUCUUCACCUCCUGAGUACAGGUGGUAGCAAAGUCACUGGAUUGUUCCCAGUGUGAGGAAAGCCUCUGGAAUCCCAGCUCUAGAAUGAGCCAGGCUAGCUAUUAAAUUACCUGUCAUGGCAAUAGUAGGAGUGUGGAUUGAACACAGACUAUCAGCUAAAAUAGUAAUAUCUCUUGCAGACAAAGUAAUAUGGUCCAUGUCUAUAAUGACUUUAGAUAAUACAAUAAUCUGAAAUGCUGCCAUUGCCCUCUCUGUUUGCACCCUGAAUUGAAAAAAAGGCUCGAAAAUAGAUAAGUUAUCAUUCCAGUUUCCAAUAUUAAGUGCUGUUGGAAACGAUUGUUGAAGGCAAAAAGGGUUAGUGCAUGACCUGCUGUCAGGCAGAUUUCCUUAUCUUUUGAGUGGAGAAGAUAAAGGACAUCGGAAUAUUCACAUCCUUCAUUUUCUUUUAAUCCUUUCUGUAGCAAAUCAUUCCCUAGGACAGUGCACGCC